rnacentral:rRNA from 1 species
AGAGUUUGAUCCUGGCUCAGAUUGAACGCUGGCGGCAGGCUUAACACAUGCAAGUCGAGCGGGGAAAAGUAGCUUGCUACUUAACUUAGCGGCGGACGGGUGAGUAAUACUUAGGAAUCUGCCUAUUAGUGGGGGACAACAUUUCGAAAGGAAUGCUAAUACCGCAUACGUCCUACGGGAGAAAGCAGGGGAUCACUUGUGACCUUGCGCUAAUAGAUGAGCCUAAGUCGGAUUAGCUAGUUGGUGGGGUAAAGGCCUACCAAGGCGACGAUCUGUAGCGGGUCUGAGAGGAUGAUCCGCCACACUGGGACUGAGACACGGCCCAGACUCCUACGGGAGGCAGCAGUGGGGAAUAUUGGACAAUGGGGGGAACCCUGAUCCAGCCAUGCCGCGUGUGUGAAGAAGGCCUUUUGGUUGUAAAGCACUUUAAGCGAGGAGGAGGCUACUCUAGUUAAUACCUAGAGAUAGUGGACGUUACUCGCAGAAUAAGCACCGGCUAACUCUGUGCCAGCAGCCGCGGUAAUACAGAGGGUGCGAGCGUUAAUUGGAUUUACUGGGCGUAAAGCGUGCGUAGGUGGCCAAUUAAGUCAAAUGUGAAAUCCCCGAGCUUAACUUGGGAAUUGCAUUCGAUACUGGUUGGCUAGAGUAUGGGAGAGGAUGGUAGAAUUCCAGGUGUAGCGGUGAAAUGCGUAGAGAUCUGGAGGAAUACCGAUGGCGAAGGCAGCCAUCUGGCCUAAUACUGACACUGAGUACGAAGC